AGUCGAGCGGUAGAGAGAAGCUUGCUUCUCUUGAGAGCGGCGGACGGGUGAGUAAUGCCUAGGAAUCUGCCUGGUAGUGGGGGAUAACGUUCGGAAACGGACGCUAAUACCGCAUACGUCCUACGGGAGAAAGCAGGGGACCUUCGGGCCUUGCGCUAUCAGAUGAGCCUAGGUCGGAUUAGCUAGUUGGUGGGGUAAUGGCUCACCAAGGCGACGAUCCGUAACUGGUCUGAGAGGAUGAUCAGUCACACUGGAACUGAGACACGGUCCAGACUCCUACGGGAGGCAGCAGUGGGGAAUAUUGGACAAUGGGCGAAAGCCUGAUCCAGCCAUGCCGCGUGUGUGAAGAAGGUCUUCGGAUUGUAAAGCACUUUAAGUUGGGAGGAAGGGUUGUAGAUUAAUACUCUGCAAUUUUGACGUUACCGACAGAAUAAGCACCGGCUAACUCUGUGCCAGCAGCCGCGGUAAUACAGAGGGUGCAAGCGUUAAUCGGAAUUACUGGGCGUAAAGCGCGCGUAGGUGGUUAGUUAAGUUGGAUGUGAAAUCCCCGGGCUCAACCUGGGAACUGCAUUCAAAACUGACUGACUAGAGUAUGGUAGAGGGUGGGUGGAAUUUCCUGUGUAGC
rnacentral:rRNA from 1 species